GCCGAUGUAGCUCAGUUGGUAGAGCACGCCCAUGGUAAGGGCGAGGUCGUCGGUUCAAUCCCGACCAUCGGCUCCA
rnacentral:tRNA from 1 species